rnacentral:pre_miRNA from 1 species
CAAAUUAGUCUUUAUACAUUAGAUCAAAGAGCAAAUUAAUCCUGUUAAAAAUUCUAUCCAUGUAUACGGUUAAAAACAGGUUACUAUAUCUCAGCAUGAGUACACGGAACAUACCACAUGUCAUUAUAUGAUUAUUCUGUCAGCCAUUUCAGUUUCUAACAGUACAAAAGGAUGAAAUUUUUAACAGAAAUGAUCAAUUUGCUCUUUAGUCUAGCAUAUAGGGAUCAAUUUGU